rnacentral:rRNA from 1 species
UGGGGAAUCUUAGACAAUGGGCGAAAGCCUGAUCUAGCGAUGCCGCGUGAGUGACGAAGGCCUUAGGGUCGUAAAGCUCUUUCGCCAGGGAUGAUAAUGACAGUACCUGGUAAAGAAACCCCGGCUAACUCCGUGCCAGCAGCCGCGGUAAUACGGAGGGGGUUAGCGUUGUUCGGAAUUACUGGGCGUAAAGCGCACGUAGGCGGAUUAGUCAGUCAGAGGUGAAAUCCCAGGGCUCAACCCUGGAACUGCCUUUGAUACUGCUAGUCUUGAGUUCGAGAGAGGUGAGUGGAAUUCCGAGUGUAGAGGUGAAAUUCGUAGAUAUUCGGAGGAACACCAGUGGCGAAGGCGGCUCACUGGCUCGAUACUGACGCUGAGGUGCGAAAGCGUGGGGAGCAAACAGGAUUAGAUACCCCCGUAGUCC